CAGGACAACUUCAACAACACAGAAGCCAGAUGUCGGCAAAAAAAAACACCUGCCUGAUGGAUCCUGAGGUUUAGUCCACGGGGAUUUUUCAGUGCCACUGUGACAGAAACACAAGGAUCAUGCCGUAUCACCGCAGAGGAAGGAGCCUCUCUGACGCCCUCACCCUGGAACGAUCAGAAGAGGGG